UACGUAGGGUGCAAGCGUUGUCCGGAAUUACUGGGCGUAAAGCGUGCGCAGGCGGUUAUGUAAGACAGAUGUGAAAUGCCCGGCUUAACCUGGGAACUGCAUUUGUGACUGCAUGGCUAGAGUUUGGCAGAGGGGGGUAGAAUUCCACGUGUAGCAGUGAAAUGCGUAGAUAUGUGGAGGAACACCGAUGGCGAAGGCAGCCCCCUGGGUCAAGACUGACACUCAUGCACGAAAGCGUGGGGAGCAAACAGG
rnacentral:rRNA from 1 species